UAAUGUUAUUAUUUAUUUUAUUAUUGACAUGCCACUGAUACAGUCAACUCUGUUACCCGAUAAACUGUGUAACCUGUAGGUUACAUCUUCCUAUUUACGAUGUUCAUGAUCACAGAGCACUUACGUAAUGUUAUAACAGCCUCACGUUACAGGAAGUAGACAGCUCUGCGGAACCCGGGUGUUUCCAGCUUUUCAAGAGGAGUAAUGGGGUCGACGAAGAAGCCGAAUAACCGUCAAAUAAACGGAUUAUAUCCCUACCAGCUGUUCGGGAAAGUAGAUAACGACAUGGGAAAGUUACUUUUAUCCAGCCUGGAUUUCAGAGGACUCCUGCAGGACGUCAGCUGCUGUGUUCAGUCAACAUGAUGAUGCUGCUCAUCUUCAUCACAUGUUGUCCCCUCCAGCAGUGUGAGCAGAGCUGCAGUAGAGAUGGAGGCUGAGGAUGGUCUUCAUCUUCAGGGUUCUUUGGUGUGAAUCCUGAGCUGAUCCUGGCUUCUGCAUGAAGUGGGCAACAUGGCAGCUGAAUCAUUGAGCUCCCUCCUGUUGCUUUCUGAGUGUGAUGGAGGCCUGCAGAGCAGUGAGGACGUCCAGCUUCAGGACCAGCUGGUAGGAGUUUGUGGAGGACUUUGGCUGCUUGGAUGCUGCUGCUCUGCACUUGUUUGGCAUUGGCUGCUACAUUUCCUACAUUUCUCUGUCUCGUGACUGUGUUACAGACAGCUGUGAUAAUAAAAAAGUGUUUAACCUACUAAUUGAUGCUGGUUUGAUCUCCUUAAUGCUGAUUGAAAAUAAUCUGCUGUGGGAUGUUGCCAUGAAAAGUGCUUUACUAAACGUGGGACAUAUGUUAAUAUUGCAAAGGAAAUAUUUUUAGAAAUGAGUGAGAUAAAGUCUGGCGACACAUCAGUGUUGAAAUUCAGUUAGCAGCUUACUGAAAUUCAGCCUAGUUACACAAGGAAUGAGGAAAUGAGUGUGAUAUUUCUGAAUGACUAUAACUGACUAAUACAGGUAACCUAAACAUGACUUGGGACGCACCACUCUGUGAGGUGAAGUUAUUCUGAGACGCUGUUACAUGAAUAAACUUUAUAAUAUAAGGCAACACAGAGCAAAGAUUUUUUUUUUUUAAUGAGAAUAAAAUAGAUAAAUAUUUAAGAAAUAAAUUGGGGAUUAUUUAAUAGAAUUGGGACCUUGUGCAUUUUAUAAUUUCUGUUUUUUAAAUUAAAAUUAAUUUAAAAUUCUGCAUUUUGUCCCAAACGCUCAAAAUAUGCUGCUAACACGUGAAUCUGAAGCGAAGGAGGUUCGUUAUUAUUUGGCCUGAGAUAAAAACGUCAGCCCCUGCCAAAUGUGAACUUGAUGUAAACGGAGACACAAAUCUCAGCAGCCAAAACGGUUCAAAGGGUCACAUGC